rnacentral:rRNA from 1 species
UGGGGGAAUAUUGGGCAAUGGGGGAGACCCUGACCCAGCAACGCCGCGUGAAGGAAGAAGGUUUUCGGAUUGUAAACUCCUGUCGUUAGGGACGAUAAUGACGGUACCUAACAAGAAAGCACCGGCUAACUACGUGCCAGCAGCCGCGGUAAAACGUAGGGUGCAAGCGUUGUCCGGAAUUACUGGGUGUAAAGGGAGCGCAGGCGGACCGGCAAGUUGGAAGUGAAAACCAUGGGCUCAACCCAUGAAUUGCUUUCAAAACUGCUGGCCUUGAGUAGUGCAGAGGUAGGCGGAAUUCCCGGUGUAGCGGUGGAAUGCGUAGAUAUCGGGAGGAACACCAGUGGCGAAGGCGGCCUACUGGGCACCAACUGACGCUGAGGCUCGAAAGUAUGGGUAGCAAACAGGAUUAGAUACCCUGGUAGU